GCAAGCCUGACGGAGCAAUACCGCGUGAGGGAGGAAGGCUCUUGGGUCGUAAACCUCUUUUCUCAGGGAAGAACACAAUGACGGUACCUGAGGAAUCAGCAUCGGCUAACUCCGUGCCAGCAGCCGCGGUAAUACGGAGGAUGCAAGCGUUAUCCGGAAUGAUUGGGCGUAAAGCGUCCGUAGGUGGUUUUGUAAGUCUGUGGUUAAAGCGUGUAGCUCAACUACAUAAGGGCCAUGGAAACUACAAGACUUGAGUGAAGUAGGGGUAGAGGGAAUUCCCAGUGUAGCGGUGAAAUGCGUAGAGAUUGGGAAGAACACCGGUGGCGAAAGCGCUCUACUGGACUUAGACUGACACUGAGGGACGAAAGCUAG
rnacentral:rRNA from 1 species